rnacentral:rRNA from 1 species
GAGUUUGAUCCUGGCUCAGAUUGAACGCUGGCGGCAUGCUUUACACAUGCAAGUCGAACGGUAACAGGGUGCUUGCACCGCUGACGAGUGGCGAACGGGUGAGUAAUAUAUCGGAACGUACCUGGUAAUGGGGGAUAACUAUCCGAAAGGAUAGCUAAUACCGCAUACGCCCCGAGGGGGAAAGUGGGGGACUCGCAAGAGCCUCACGUUAUCAGAGCGGCCGAUAUCAGAUUAGCUAGUUGGUGAGGUAAAGGCUCACCAAGGCAACGAUCUGUAGCGGGUCUUAGAGGACGAUCCGCCACACUGGAACUGAGACACGGUCCAGACUCCUACGGGAGGCAGCAGUGGGGAAUCAUGGACAAUGGGCGAAAGCCUGAUCCAGCAAUGCCGCGUGCGUGAAGAAGGCCUUCGGGUUGUAAAGCGCUUUUGUUCGGGAGGAAAUCCCAAGGGCUAAUAUCUCUUGGGGAUGACAGUACCGGAAGAAUAAGGACCGGCUAACUACGUGCCAGCAGCCGCGGUAAUACGUAGGGUCCAAGCGUUAAUCGGAAUUACUGGGCGUAAAGGGUGCGCAGGUGGUUUAUUAAGUGUGAUGUGAAAGCCCCGGGCUCAACCUGGGAAUUGCAUUGCAAACUGGUAAACUAGAGUAUGGCAGAGGGGGGUGGAAUUCCGCGUGUAGCAGUGAAAUGCGUAGAGAUGCGGAGGAACACCGAUGGCGAAGGCAACCCCCUGGGCUAAUACUGACACUCAUGCACGAAAGCGUGGGGAGCAAACAGGAUUAGAUACCCUGGUAGUCCACGCC